GUUGCAGCAGAGAUUGACCCUACUACUACAGAAGGGGCGAGGAUCCCCUCUUGAGGCCUAAUUUGGAAACUCAAUCCCUCUGAGAUCCCGAACUUUUCACUGGCAAGGUAAUCAAUGGGGAUAUAAUUUUAACAAUCAUCUUAGUUCUUAGUGGGGGUUUUUCCAUCCCUUGGUCUUCUCCCCUUGUUUCCAAAAGGUGCGUGAGGGGAGGGGUUCAACCUUGAGGAAGAGGCCAUGGUAGAAAUUCUUGCAUUCAUGUUCGUAACGAGACUGAGUGUUAUGGAAAAAUAUAGUCUCCUCCCUCGUCCCACUUUGGGGAAGGGAAGCCUUUAUUCUUUGCUGAGGUGUAUUGGAUCCCCAUAUGGGUAUUUACACGAUGUUGGGAUCCUAACACUGGUGGCCGGCCACUUAGAGACAAAAGUAAUAAAAGGGACGGACUUCCUUAUGUGGCACCUAAGUACAGCCACAUAAGUACAGCUUUAUGCACUCAUGCAGAAGGGACACGUCCACAAUUUUUUUCAACUAUCGUAUCGUGAUCAUCAGACGCGGUGGCAACCAGAGAGCAAGCUUGCUACGUAUCCUGACACGGGCUGCAGCACCACCUGACAAUGAUCAUUUCCAUGUCUAGAGGGAUUUCAAAUGCCGUGGUUUCUGAUUUGCACCGUAUUUAGAACAACAACCCACCCCAUACGAGUAAUGUGAAUAUGUCAGCCUAAGAGCACUUAGAGAUACCCUCCCUUCACGAGAUUAGAAAAUUAAGAGAGGAGGUGUUGGCUUUGAUGCAAAGUAAGUACGGCAUAGAUACCGGAAGUUCAAAAUUAUAUCAAAAGUCAUAUCAAGCUCAUUUUAACUAUGUUCCCUACCCUGUCGAUUGGCGCAUGCCCGAUUUUUUCAAAUUUAGUGGCGAGCAUAACCGAACUACUUAUGAGCAUAUUAGUCAAUAUCUGGCUUAACUAGGCGAAGCGGGUUAUUAUAAUGCUUUGCGUGUUCAUUUGUUUUCUUUAUCUUUAACUGAACCGCUUUCACUUUG
rnacentral:lncRNA from 1 species